rnacentral:lncRNA from 12 species
GGAGAGGACAAGCAGACCCAGUACACGUACAUGCUAGGUCUCUAGCACAGCUCCCUUAUUCUCACACUACAUUGCUGAGAAUAAAACACAUGGCAACGCUGUCCCUACUUGGUGGCUGCUUCCAGUGAUAACACUACUCUGGAUGGGAGAGCACGGCAUUUGGUGGACAGCUUGCCAUCUUGGCCACCACGAGGACUCAUCACUCACUCAAUCUCACACCCUUUAAUUCCCUCAAAAGUUUGGAAAACAUGAAUUACUCUCAAGCAAUUCUGGAAGGAAGGAUGUUGUUUGCAGCAGAAAUGGACAGACACUGUGGUCACUUCCUCCUGAACACCAUCCUUGGUCAGCCAAGAACCUUCCUGCAGAAGAAACUUCCUCCUGGGAUGGAGCCCAGACCAGACUCCCUGGAGCUCACGAUUCUCCCCCGUGUCUGCCUGUCUGCCCUCUUUCUCUGGCCCUCUGAUCGUCUUCACGUUCCUCCUUAACUGACCAUAAUACAGAGCUGAAAAAACAUGCUUAUCAUUAUUGAAUAGUUCCCUAUUUCUUGUUCUUAAAUAUGUACACAGAGAAUUGUAUAUUUCUCUAAGGCUAUGUGAAAUUAUUAUUACUUUGCUUAUAAGAACUAUCAUUUCCUUUUCUCAUAGUGAAUGAUCCUAGAACAGGAUAAACAUAAAUUUGAAUGCCAUCACUAGGUAUGCCAUCUGUAUACUCUUGCAAAAAGACCAUAACACAAUAACAGGAGUUACCAAGUUAAACAUGACAGCUCUGGGAAGUGUAUACCCAGCUCUGGAGACUGAGUUCCUUUGUUCCUCCAAGUCAGUGGAUUUUGUCAAAUAUUUAAUUUCCAAUAAAUAAGUGCAAUUUGGCUUCA